GGCGGACGGGUGAGUAAUGUCUGGGAAACUGCCUGAUGGAGGGGGAUAACUACUGGAAACGGUAGCUAAUACCGCAUAACGUCGCAAGACCAAAGUGGGGGACCUUCGGGCCUCAUGCCAUCAGAUGUGCCCAGAUGGGAUUAGCUAGUAGGUGGGGUAACGGCUCACCUAGGCGACGAUCCCUAGCUGGUCUGAGAGGAUGACCAGCCACACUGGAACUGAGACACGGUCCAGACUCCUACGGGAGGCAGCAGUGGGGAAUAUUGCACAAUGGGCGCAAGCCUGAUGCAGCCAUGCCGCGUGUGUGAAGAAGGCCUUCGGGUUGUAAAGCACUUUCAGCGGGGAGGAAGGCGAUAAGGUUAAUAACCUUGUCGAUUGACGUUACCCGCAGAAGAAGCACCGGCUAACUCCGUGCCAGCAGCCGCGGUAAUACGGAGGGUGCAAGCGUUAAUCGGAAUUACUGGGCGUAAAGCGCACGCAGGCGGUCUGUCAAGUCGGAUGUGAAAUCCCCGGGCUCAACCUGGGAACUGCAUUCGAAACUGGCAGGCUAGAGUCUUGUAGAGGGGGGUAGAAUUCCAGGUGUAGCGGUGAAAUGCGUAGAGAUCUGGAGGAAUACCGGUGGCGAAGGCGGCCCCCUGGACAAAGACUGACGCUCAGGUGCGAAAGCGUGGGGAGCAAACAGGAUUAGAUACCCUGGUAGUCCACGCCGUAAACGAUGUCGAUUUGGAGGUUGUGCCCUUGAGGCGUGGCUUCCGGAGCUAACGCGUUAAAUCGACCGCCUGGGGAGUACGGCCGCAAGGUUAAAACUCAAAUGAAUUGACGGGGGCCCGCACAAGCGGUGGAGCAUGUGGUUUAAUUCGAUGCAACGCGAAGAACCUUACCUGGUCUUGACAUCCACAGAACUUAGCAGAGAUGCUUUGGUGCCUUCGGGAACUGUGAGACAGGUGCUGCAUGGCUGUCGUCAGCUCGUGUUGUGAAAUGUUGGGUUAAGUCCCGCAACGAGCGCAACCCUUAUCCUUUGUUGCCAGCGGUUAGGCCGGGAACUCAAAGGAGACUGCCAGUGAUAAACUGGAGGAAGGUGGGGAUGACGUCAAGUCAUCAUGGCCCUUACGACCAGGGCUACACACGUGCUACAAUGGCAUAUACAAAGAGAAGCGACCUCGCGAGAGCAAGCGGACCUCAUAAAGUAUGUCGUAGUCCGGAUUGGAGUCUGCAACUCGACUCCAUGAAGUCGGAAUCGCUAGUAAUCGUAGAUCAGAAUGCUACGGUGAAUACGUUCCCGGGCCUUGUACACACCGCCCGUCACACCAUGGGAGUGGGUUGCAAAAGAAGUAGGUAGCUUAACCUUCGGGAGGGCGCUUACCACUUUGUGAUUCAUGACUGGGGUGAAGUCGUAACAAGGUAACCGUAGGGGAACCUGCGGUUG
rnacentral:rRNA from 1 species